UACGGAGGGUGCAAGCGUUAAUCGGAAUUACUGGGCGUAAAGCGUGCGCAGGCGGUUUGUUAAGUCUGUUGUGAAAUCCCCGAGCUCAACUUGGGAAUUGCAAUGGAUACUGGCAGGCUGGAGUAUGGUAGAGGAAGGUGGAAUUCCCGGUGUAGCAGUGAAAUGCGUAGAGAUCGGGAGGAACACCAGUGGCGAAGGCGGCGUUCUGGACCAAUACUGACGCUCAUGCACGAAAGCGUGGGGAGCAAACAGG
rnacentral:rRNA from 1 species